rnacentral:rRNA from 1 species
ACGGAAGGCAGCAGUGGGGAAUAUUGCACAAUGGGCGAAAGCCUGAUGCAGCAACGCCGCGUGAAGGACGACGUAUUUCGGUUUGUAAACUUCUAUCAGCAGGGAAGAUAAUGACGGUACCUGACUAAGAAGCCCCGGCUAACUACGUGCCAGCAGCCGCGGUAAUACGUAGGGGGCAAGCGUUAUCCGGAUUUACUGGGUGUAAAGGGAGCGUAGGCGGCCAUGCAAGUCAGAAGUGAAAACCCGGGGCUCAACUCCGCGGACUGCUUUUGAAACUGUAAGGCUGGAUUUCUGGAGAGGUAAGCGGAAUUCCUAGUGUAGCGGUGAAAUGCGUAGAUAUUAGGAGGAACACCAGUGGCGAAGGCGGCUUACUGGACAGACAAUGACGCUGAGGCUCGAAAGCGUGGGGAGCAAACAGGAUUAGAUACCCUGGUA